rnacentral:sRNA from 1 species
CCUAGCCCGGGCCAGGCUAAAUUAUGCCGUGCUUUCAGCACU